rnacentral:tmRNA from 1 species
CAAAUAACUGCCAAAAAGACGCAGUCCGAGUUCGCACUCGCCGCCUGAGGCGAGUAGCCACUCCGUCAGCCCGGGGAGUCUCCGACCCGGUGCCUGGCGUCAACUAGGAGACUCACCAACCUCCCCGGUCCCGGGGGAGCGCGGAAAGACAAACAGUGACUAGGCCGCUACCGCGUAGUGCCGUACAAAGCGCGGAGGCUGAGUAGCGAUAGCACGGCUACGCACGUAGAAGACCGGUUCAGAUCUGAACGGACCCGGGUUCGAUUCCCGGCACCUCCACCG